rnacentral:SRP_RNA from 1 species
GCCGGGCGCAGUGGCGAGCGCCUGUAGUCCCAGCUACUCGGGAGGCUGAGGCAGGAGAAUCACUUGAACGUGGGAGACAGGGGUUGCAGUGAGUCGAGAUCCGGCCACUGCACUCCAGCCUGGGCGACAGAGUGAGACUCCGUCUCAA